GGUUCCAUCGGGGGGAGAAUGUUGGAAAACUGGCCACCGUGCCAGUCCGCGGUUGUUCAAAAGUCGCUGAGAAAUAACAGCGAAAACUAAACGUCAUCGUUGCCGCCAAAAGUGACCGCACGAGGAAAAUUUUCACUUCUGUUAGCCAUUUUGUAUCGAGUUGCGUACUGCGUAGAAGCAGAAUUUAAAGUGAAACUUUAAAGUGUUCCGUUUUGCCAAAUAUUGUUAUUUUUUCGGGUUAUAAGUGUAGGAUCAUUAUCAGGCGAAACGCUGAAUUGAUUGACCGAUCAUCUCUGUUGAACAGAGCGCUAAAAGUAGGAAAUCGGACUCUUUGCUCUCGAUACGAGGUUGAACUGAGUUGUAUUAGGGCCGGAAUAGCUAGGGUCACUGAUUUAAUUGAAGCAUCACUACCAAACUAUAAAUUUAGUCUGCUAUCAGUACCAGUGCAUCGCUUUUUCAUUUGCCGCCCUAUCACAACAGUUGGAGAACUUGAAUUCAUUGAUGUAAUCAUGAUCAAGGAUGUUUAUUUGGAUAUUUUGAAGCGGAAACUACCAGCGUCUGCACAAAAGCUAAAGAUGGGGCGCAGAUAUACGUUCCAACAAGCCGGAGAUCCGAAACACACCUCAAAACUGGUUUCUCAAUGGUUCAAAGAAAAGCGUAUCGAGGUUAUGGAGUGGCCAGCACAGUCUCCGGACCUUAAUCCGAUCGAGCAUCUCCGGUCAAUUUUGAAAAUUAAUGUUCAGGAGCAAAAACCAACAAGCAUCCAGCAAUUGCAACAGGUAAUCUCAACUGAAUGGGACAAAAUCACCCCGGAAACAACCGCUAAGCUUGUUGAAUCGAUGCCACGACGUUGUCAAGCAGUUAUUGAAGCCAAAGGAGGUCACACGAAGUACUAAAGCUAUGUGAGCCAGAGGGGUGGAUAAACUUUUUUUGCGUUAUUUUUUAUCUUUUUUUUAACAUCAUAUCUCAAAUGCAACAGAAUAUGUUUUUUAUUUGGAACUUGAAUGAAUUGACUUUGUUUU